AAUCGAAGUCAGACGCCCAACCAACUGAGCCACCCAGGUGCCCCCUCGGUGGCCCUGUUUCCAAAUAUGUUCACCUUGUGAGGGACGUGAAGUUAGGAGUUCAACACAGGAAUUUGGGCAGGGGCAGAAUUCAAUUCAUAACACAUAGUAAACACUCAAGUGGUAGUUAUUAUUCACAAUACCUUCUUCAAACACGUUUUCAUGGGGGUAUUUUUGUAGCCAGGUUUGCAUCUUUUUCUCAUCGUCUUUCCAGGCCUUCAUUAUGCCUAGAAAGAAAGUGCCCUGAGAGCAGGUGAUUUGACCGUGGGGUUCAGUCCUGUGCUGUCUAGGGUCUAGGCAGCAGUGGGCCCCCUGGAAGCCCCACGGAAUGUCUACAGAUUAAUGAAUGAGGUCUGUUUCUCUCCUCCUUUCUAUUUACUUAUUUUUUAUUUCUCAAUGGCCAGCCUUCCACCUUAGUUACCUUUUCUAGAUUGCGAAAGCAUUAAAGGCAAAAGACAUGAAACCAAACACAUUUUAAUUUCCUUUGUUGAUAAUUAUUAAAUCCUCCAUAAUCACUUGCUUCCUGCAGCCAGUGAGAAACCUAGCCAGAUGGCAGAGGGCAACAGAAGUGUUGCUGGGGGUGGGGGGAGUGAAGUGCCUGUGUUGGGGACACUUAGAGGCCAUUCUGGGCACUUCCCGGGUGCUUGAUUUUGGCCGGAGCUGGGUAUUUGGAAUGCAUGUGGCCCAACUCUACUCUGAGAGUCUGGGAAGAAACCAGUGAGGUCAAUAUUGGCUCUACAGGUUGAAAGUCAAAGUCAAAAUGAAGAGCCACAGGCCUGGAAAGGUACAGGGACUUUAUCUGGUCCUCAGAAAGGUGUGACGGAUGCCCCCCGCAUCUCGUGCAAUGAUUCUCUGUCCGCACACCACCAGUGCGGGCCCAAAAGAUGUGGCCACCUGUGUGUGAUGGCUCCUGGUCUGAAAACAGGUCAGGAGUUGUGUGAAUCUUGGACUUGGACAGGAAGUGGAGUGUGAAACGCCGACAGACCAUGCUGUGUAUUCGAGAGACCCAGAGACGGACUGUUGUAAGCUAAGUAGCUCUGUACUGGUGCCCGGACUCAAACCCCCCCCCCCCCACCUUCCGGUGAGAGAAAACAGUGAAAACACCCUAAUAGUGUGCUGGCAUCAUCACGGUACAAAUGCAUCUAUCCAUCUGCCCAGCCAGCUUCUCACCGCUGUAGAACAGAUGUUGCACAUGCACACAGCCCCUGGCAAGAAACAGGAAGGAUCCAGCCGGGUGGGGGCUGGGGUUCAGGAGAGGCAAUAGCAAAGCAGUGAUAUACUUUCAGGCUACUGUUACCACUUGGGACCAAUGAAAACAGUGUGGGCUCAUCCUUGCCCACUUCUUUUUUAAUUAAGGAUUUAACUGGGUAUUGAACUCGACUUAAAAACGUUUUUAUGGUGGAGCAUCUCAAAAAUACGCAGAAGCAAAUAGAGGAGUGUAAUCAUCCCCACGAACCCAUCCCUCAGCCUGGACAAUCAUUAUUCCACGGCCGUCCGGCCCCACGUACACGGCUCUACCCACUUCCGCUGUUUCUACAGACUGAAUGUUAACACAGAAUGAAAGUGUUUUCCACUAGUGAAACAAUAGGACACUGAGUCCUUGGACCAGCGCUCAGGCUCAUGCAUAGACCCAAGCGUCAGGAGAGAACAGAUUUGAGAAAGGAAGAAACGUCAUGUUGUUUUCAUGCUGCUCCGGUUCUGCCGUGUUUCAAAAAAAAGUCAGAGGAGGCUACCGGUCAGCAGACAAUUAGUGAGAGCACGAGGCACUGCCCUUCACUUUGUGUUGCCGGGGACACGAAGAUGAGAUGAGUGUGUUUCCUGAUCGCAGAGGUCUUUACAGUUUUCUGUGGGAGAUCGCACCCCUACUCUUGAUACAAAGUGGCCUAAAGGUCAUACCUUAGAAGAUGUAGGAGGCAGACCACACCCUGAUGAUCCACACACCUUGCAAGAUGUCCUGUGGUUUCUGGUCACUCAAGCACCCCUGGUCUUUGGAUCGCCCUGGGGAGUAUACUUCAGGGAGGAACACACAGACUGUUGGUGCCAGGCGGUGCUUGGGCUUUGGCUGACAUCUGGUCAACCCCACAGUCAUAAAGCUGCACAGACCUGCAGUGUGGAAGAGACAGACCGCUCCAGUGAAAAGUCGGGUUUUCCAGCUCUAACUUCCAGGGGUUAUUCCAAGUGUCAGGGGUGUGAGAGGAACGGAAGGCGUUCAAGAGAACUGACGAAGAGUGUUUGGGCUGGGAGUGGACUCUGCUCCCCUCCCGAGGCUGGCCCAGCCCAGCCCACCUCACCCCCAAGUCUUUGAAGUGCGCUACCUGGAUGGUGAGCUAAGCCACGCUUGGCAGGAGGGAGGGAGGUUGUGUGGUCUGGCAAAGAGCAGAGCGGAGGGGCAGAGGGACCAAGCCUGAAUCUGUAGCUGACUCACGGCACCUCUCGUGCCAGGCCGUUUCACCAUUCAGUCCAGAUGGAAAAUGAGGAAAAGACCCAAAUCAGGAUCUCACUGAGAAAUCCAGAUGCCUUUCAGGAGAAUAAACAAGGCAGCCUGCUCUCUGCGGUCUCCGUUUCCCUGUUUCUGUGCGAGUGUGUAUGUGUCCGUUUCUGGAUCUUAGGGGGGUGUGUGUUAGCUUUGAUCAUUUCUCCGUCCCCCUUCCUCUUACUUCCUGUGGGGAUCCGCUUCAGGACUUGCUUUUGGUCUCAGCUUCAGUCACUGUCUUCAGGCACUUCUGGUACAGGAACAAAGAUCAGCAGCAAAAAAUCACUCCUUUCAAGCAUCGUGAUGGUUGUUCUGCCUCUGCUCACGGGGAGCAAGUCUCAGUGCCUUGAACCCUCCCUGUCCCAUCACAAUGAUUGGCUCAGGGAAGGACACCUGACCCCGUCAAGACUCAUUCCUCAGUGAGCUGGGCCCACUAGACCCUCGUUCAGACAUGUGAGUGAAAGGUACAGAUGGAAGAAUUGGUCGUGGUCACGGGAGCUGAAAAGUCUUAGCGGAGGCUGGGAUAUUGGGCAACAAGGUGAACAGGCACUCAGUGGCAAGUGAGGAGGAUGCAGCUGAUAAGCUGGAGACAAGUGAGAGUCACCCUGGUUUUCUUGGAUCCUCUGAUGUUUUCCCCACGAUUCCAUGACACUCCGUGACAUGAUUCCAGUAUUCCCUCUCAACAGCCCCUGUUACUCCUUGAACUCGUCCGAGAGGGUUUCUGUUCUUUGCGAUCAAAAGGACUUUCACUACAACGUCUUCGUGGAUUUUUGGAUUUGGAGUGGUGCCGGGCGGUCCCUGACGUCUUCUUCUGCCACCUCGAAGAGUGUUGGGAUUGUGUAUGUUUAUGGUACGUUGACUCUGCAAGAUGCUGUGUGGUAAGAGCUCAUUGUUUUGUCAGCUUUCAGGAGCAGAAAUCUCCCACUCUUAGGAAGCUCCGACGCUGGUCCUCUCGCUGAAGGUUGAACCCCUCUUCCAUUAUGCUUUGUAUUCCCUCUGGGAGCCCUGUAGCUCUUUCUUUUUCCAAAAAAUUGUAUGCGUUCUAGGAGACCAGAGAUGUUUUUUCUGCACCUAAAAACUCUGAGUUUCUCACCGGAGAUGUCCUGGAGAUAGAAAAAUCUCUUUGGAAGCUUUAAGCCAUAUCUUAUCCUUGAAGGAUGCCUUAUGUUUCAGGACCUGACCAUGUCCUUCUGAGGAUUCACCAAAUGUUCACAGACAUCAUCUCUUUGGUCCUUCUGACAAUAUCUGGUUAGUUACGUGAACCCAUUCUACCAGCCUGGAAAUAGAAGCCGCAGGAGGGCCGGUUGGCAGUAUCGAUCUCUGAGGCAAGCCAGCAUUGGAAAGCCGAAUAGAAUGCUUCUUUUCCCAACCAUCACAGGCUCACUGCCAAGCUGCCAGCUAGAGACCUGAGCCUUGGGCAGACCUCGUUUCAGGGUGAGUCAAAAGCGUGAGGGAAUCUUGUCCACACAUGCCUAACAAGGGAAAGGCCCCCAACAGAGAUGUUUCAAGGAGUUCUAUCAGAAAUUUGGGAGAUCUUUGCUCUACUCUAGGAGAGAGAGAGAGAGCUCAUCAAAUUGGAGGGUGCAUAGCUAUCCGGGAGAUGAGCAGGGGAAGAACUUAGGGAUGCCCUAAGACCCUGUCUUCAUUGUCAUGGUCAGUGUUUAUGGAGUACAGAGUUGUAGCCUUCAUGAUAGGCUCAAUAUACAUCUAGUCCUUUAACAAUAGAUCUGCUAAGACAGCACGACUGCUGUCUUGGGCAUCUCUGUGAUGUUACCUUAGAGACCAGCUAAGCCACUUCUUUGAUUUUCUCUAGCACCUGAGAAUUAAACUCUGCACCCGGACCAAUACUUUCAGCCGUUUCUUAAUCCAAACCAGUACUGUUGUGGAGGGAAAAUUUAGAAUGAGAGAGAAAAUAGCCUUUUGGGAUACCAAAGGUCUUUGACAUUUGGUGAGUUUGAGCAUCCCUACACUCUCAACAUUUAAUCAUGGGCAUAUUCCUGAGUGGGAGCAGGAUUAAGGCAGAUGGUGAGGGGCCUUAAAGCAACUUGCUCUGCCCUAGAUCCUCAGCCCUAGUAAUUUUCAGACGGUUAUACGAAAAUAGAAUUCACAACGGAUCAAGGUUCACGUUUAUGGUAGAGGGUCUAUGUGGGGCUGGGUAGUAGUGUUUCUGUGGGGGACCUAGGGUAGAUGCCUUACUUAGGGUUAAGGAUGUCAGAUAAAGCAUAAGAUGGUCAGUUAAAUUAAAGUUGCAGAUAAACAAUGAAUAGAGUUUAGCAUAAGAAUGUCCCAUGCAAUAUUUGAGACAUACUUACAUUGAAAUUUGUUGUUUCUCUGGAAUUCAAAUUUAACCAAGUAGCCUACAUUUUUAUUUUUAUCUGACAACUCUACCUGCUCUACCUGGGGCAGAUCAAAUCCCCGGCAUCUCCGGGUUUGUGUGGAGGUGGUGUGUGUGGAUGUUUACACGUAGGAGGCAUGGGUACCAAAGCACAUAAGAAGAGUGUGUCUGUAUCUUGGGAGGAAACAGUAUCUGGGUCAGAAGUCAUAUGAGUGUUUUUAUUUUUAUUUUUUUGGCUCUUGAAUGGUUCCAAAAUUAUUAAUUUUCUAUUUCCAAACACUUCCCAAGAACUUAGAGAUCCUUGGAGUGCUCCAAAGGCCCUCGUGAAACUUGGGCAAUGGGUCUCCUCCAUUAAACUUCUCCACGAGGUCAUUUGGAAGAAUGAGCUAGCUGGGAUUCUUAGCGUGUGGAUCUUUCCUUCCUCUUUUUAUCAUUAUCUAGAAUUGUUCUCAUUAAACCCCUCUUUCUUCUCUGUGAUGAGCCACCAGAGAGAUGAAAUAUGAAGACAGAAGCUGUAGGAGCUUGGGCACGGCUGGGGGAAAAAAUAAAUGGACUCUUCUUAGAGGUUCCGGCGCAAGAAAGAGGGGCAUCCAGCGAGGGCUUUGUGGGUGCGGCGAGAACAGACUCUGGGCUAGGACUCAGGGAAAGCUGGCAGGGGAUGAGUCAAUCCGUAGCAGGUCUAGGAAUGGAAGACUCUCCGCGGCUGGCUCUGGGCUGUGCAAAGGGAGUGGCGAGUGAGGGCUUUUAGCUCCAGGCUCAGUCCUGGAGGAGGAAGGGGAGGGGCAGGCAACAUUACAGGUUGCAACUAACUCCAAAGCAUUGCCCAGAGCUUUUUGGUUGCCCUGGAAUAGAGGGGUAAGUUCAACCGCCAGUCUGGGGUAUCUGGAGCUUUUUGUUCAAGGCGGAUUUGCCCCUGUUUGAUGCCGGUUGUCAGAGGACUUGGCCAGGGUUAAGUAGUGUUAAGUGCGGGACAGGGGUGAGGAGGCGGGCUGGUCCCAGGUUUCCUGUCCUGGCAAGCUCUCCCUGAAUGCCUGGGUAGGACACGCUCUCUGGAACCGAGUGUUCCUGUGACAUCCAAUGCGAGCAUCUAUCUGUCCCUCUCCUUGGUGGCCUUCUCUGGGGAUACGCUGGUCCCAGUUCUGCUACCUGGGAGCACACACCCUGUGUCAGCAUGGGGCCACCUGGGGCCACAGGGUGGUCGUUCAGACCCACCAAUGUCUCAUUUCCCAGACCCAGACAACACACCGGGUGGCAAAUUCUGGAAAACUCGGGUUUGGUCAAGCUGGAGACUCAACCUGUUAGUGCAGGUGGAGGACAAGAUUCCUACUGGCUUCCCUGUGCCUCCCAAGUUCCUGGCCAACACAGGCACCAGACUCUGCAGACUCUGCCAAGAAGUUCCCUUCUCUUUGCAUCUUUGACUCCCAUUUAAUUGAGGGCCACAGAAAAACGGAUACAUCCCUUUGGACUCAGUUUCCUCAUCUGUAAAGUGGGUGGUACCACAUCCACUCCCGGUCUCAAACUAGGACAUUCCCUUCCUAAAGCCUACAAUGAUACAGUUUAGAUGUAGAGUAAGGAUCUCUUUGCAAAGGCUCUUGGGGUUUGCCCCUAACAUAUCCAUCUUCUUAAAUUUGGAGAGUCAUGGAGAUCUUGAGGUAUAAUUCUUGGGAAUGUCAAGGAUUUAGUGCAUAGCAAAGUAUCGAUAAUGUGUUAUCGUCGGUGGCUGGGGUCGGGGCGAAUCUUAAGCAUUUGUAUCUUCUGCAUGAGUGGGCAUCACUUGUGCAAAGAGAAGUAAGCAUUACUUUGGAAGGCUGUCUUGAGGGGAGCCAUCCAGCCUCCCCUUUGCUACCCCUUUUUUGGAGGAUGCUGACAGGUGAGCAGAUUUUUGUGUGUGUGUGUUAGGAGCCAGGGGUUCGAUUCUGUGGCCUCUGGAAGACCCUUAUGACAGAUGAGUCUGUGCUCAGUGCACACAGCUAACUCGUACCUCUCUGCAGGAGCAUGUUGCCAGGAGCCAGAGCGGGAGGAAGAAGAGGAGUGAGAGUGGGAAAGGAAGAAUGGAGGAGGGGGAGAAAGGAGAGUAAGAGAGAAAAACCACACUGUCAUGGAAAGCUUGAACCUUCCCUUUCAGCCUUUCUCUUGUAAUUAGUCGGUGCAGCUGGAGGGGAAGACGUUUUGGUGAGUUGCAACUUGUUGGACUCCAGUCCUCAGGAUGUUGAAGGCUUGCUCAGUGUCUGGGGAAAACUCAGUUCUCAGAUGGCCCCUCCUCCCUCUCUGUCUUUUUAUUUCAACUCCCCACCCAGAGGGGGUUUGUGAAGGGUUGGAAACUUUCUAGUGUCUUGGCCAGGAAGCCUUCUACCUAGGGCUGACCUGGAGGCGCUGGGGAGGACCUGGGUGAAACCGGAUUCCCUCCACCAGGGAUCUGGGAGCCGACUCUGCAAAGGUCUCAAGGUCUCAGAGGAGCAGUACAGAGGGUAGCAAAGGAACAGGGAGGGGGCCGAGCUCCAGUAGGGCAAGUGCGGUCUGGUUGGUUCCUCCCAGGCAGGGAUCCUCUUGCGAUCCCGGGAGUGUGGUGCCAGCGUCUGCCUCCUCCCUGCAUUGCAGGCUCCAAGGCCAUCAACGAGGGCGACUUUUAUGACUACGGGUGCCCAGGGUAGUGCGCUUGAGUGGCCUGUUGGGGAGAGCAGGGCCUCCAAAGACAGAUGACUGGAUUUGAAUCCUGAUUCUCUGCUUACCACUUGAAUAACUUGAAUAACUUGCAGCCAGUUGCUUAAUUUCCUUGUGUCUCAGUUUUCUCACCUGUCAAGUGGGUAGAAGGUAAUCUACCUCCUUAAGAAGGGUGUUCAGCAGAGCCCCUGGUGCACAAGCACUGUUAUAAGCUUCUAUUAUUACUGUUCUCGCAGGAGGCCACAAGGAUUUUGCUUAGGGACAGGGCACACCCACCUUUGGGCCCCACCCGGCAGCAGGAAUCGAGACGCUGUGCCAGUGAGAACUUCUAUCUAUAACCAGUAGGUAUGGCCCCUGGAAGUGGAGGCACUGCCUUUGCAUUGGACCAGAGCAGGGCUGCUGGUGGGGCUGCCUAGAGGUGACUGCGUGGGAAACACGGGACCCUGAGGGUGAUGUGGUCGGCUCUGCUCCCGGCUUGCUAAUCGCUCCUCUCCCGCUUAUCCAGCUGGCCGUGUCGGGCGGCAAGAGCUGAGUGCCUUCGUCAUCACGUGUCAGCCAGGUGAGCGGCAAGGGUCACGGGGGAACAGAAAGAUUCUUCAAUGUCAUCUGAUUUGCCUUUGGUGGGAGACGCUUCUCUCUGCUGAUGGGCCUGGCCACCGGCCAUCACAAUAGCUGUCGUUUACGGGGGAUCUACUCAGUGCCCUGCGCACUGCGAUCGGUUCAUGUCUCUUGUCCUCACAUCUACCCUGAAAGAAGGGAUAGUCAUUCCUAGGUCGGAGAUGACCAACUGAUCAUCCAAGGUCAGGCUGCUCCUAAGUGCUCCGUGAGCAUGAGGAUGAAUUGUAGGAUUCCCAAGCUUGGGUUCCUAAUAAUGUUAAGAGUAACUGACGUUAACAGAGCCCCUGCUACGUGGGUGAUUUUACUGACGAUUUAACACCACACACGGAGCCGUGCCUCUCUUACAGAUGGGGGUGUUGUGGGUGGGGAGGUCAGACCAGACGUUCGGGUCGCUGUAAUCAUAGCUAACAUUUAUUGAUCGCGUCCCAUAUGCCUGUUGUGUAGAAUACAAUACACAGCUUCACCUAUGCGAUUCUUACAGCAAUCUCAUUUGACGUACGACAAAAGUGAACCUGACUUUCUCGGUGUCACUGAGCAGCAAGUUGGAAGAACUUGGGGUUCCGAAUCCUGUUUUUCUUGAUGAGCUGCCCACGGCCUCCUGCAUCCCCCACUUCCUCUCAUCUCCCCAGGGUUUCAGGAGACAGUUUCUCCUAGUCCCUGUCUCUGUCCCCUUUCUGAGGGGAGAGAGAAGUUUGCCCAGUGUCCAUCUCGGAGCAGGGCCACUGAGGUCCUCAGGAACCAGCCCACCCAAUUUUACUUCUUGUCAAGCAAAAGGCAUUUUGUGUAUUUACUCAUUUUUUAUUGUUGAGUUUUUAAAAUUUUUAUUAAAAAAAUUUUUUUUAACAUUCAUUUAUUUUUGAGACAGAGCGAGCAUGAGCAGGGGACAGGCAGAGAGAGAGGGAGACACAGAAUCCAAAGCAGGCUCCAGGCUCUGAGCCGUCAGCACAGAGCCUGACGUGGGGCUCAAACUCACAAACGGGGAGAUCAUGACGUGAGCUGAAGUUGGACGCCCAACCUACUGAGCCACCCAGGCGCCCUAUUAUUGAGUUUUAAACCUUAAUUCCUGUAUAGGUAACAUAGCGUGACAUAUUAUAUUAGUUUCAGGUGUAUAUAUAAUAGAGUGAUUCAACAACUCUAUACGUUGCUCAGUGUUUACUGUGGUAAGUGUACUUUUCAUCCCCAGCACCUAUCUCCCCCACCCUCACCUGCCUCCCCUCUGGUAACCAUUGGCUUCUUCUCUAGAGCUAAGAGUCUAUUUCUU